rnacentral:rRNA from 1 species
UGCAAGUCUCAGUACAUGCCGCACUAAGGUGAAACCGCAAAAGGCUCAUUAAAUCAGUUAUGGUUCCUUGGAUCUUAAACAGUUACUUGGAUAACUGUGGUAAUUCUAGAGCUAAUACAUGCAAACAAGUCCCGACCAGAGAUGGGAGGGACGCUUUUAUUAGAUCAAAACCGAUCGGCGUCCGGCUCCGGCCGGCGCCGUCUCUUUUGGUGACUCUGGAUAACUUUUAGCCGAUCGCACGGUCAUAGUACCGGCGACGCAUCUUUCAAAUGUCUGACUUAUCAACUGUCGAUGGUAGGCUCUGCGCCUACCAUGGUUGUAACGGGUAACGGGGAAUCAGGGUUCGAUUCCGGAGAGGGAGCCUGAGAAACGGCUACCACAUCCAAGGAAGGCAGCAGGCGCGCAAAUUACCCACUCCCGGCACGGGGAGGUAGUGACGAAAAAUAACGAUACGGGACUCAUCCGAGGCCCCGUAAUCGGAAUGAGUACACUUUAAAUACUUUAACGAGUACCAAUUGGAGGGCAAGUCUGGUGCCAGCAGCCGCGGUAAUUCCAGCUCCAAUAGCGUAUAUUAAAGUUGUUGCGGUUAAAAAGCUCGUAGUUGGAUCUGUGUGCCACGCUGUCGGUUCACCGCCCGUCGGUGUCAACUGGCAUGUCUGUGGGACGUCCUGCCGGUGGCGGUACGGGCUGCCGGCGCUGCGUAGGGGCACAACCCCGAAGCACGCCGGCGUGUCCCGGUCCGCCGAUCCAAUCCCGCCGCGGUGCUCUUCACUGAGUGUCGAGGUGGGCCGGCACGUUUACUUUGAACAAAUUAGAGUGCUCA